rnacentral:lncRNA from 1 species
CUACAAGAAAAAACGGUUUUGAUAGCAGUAGAGGAUAGCGUUUUUUGUUUUUCUGCUAUGGUUGACGUACCCUUUAACUUUAGAUAGCGUUUGUAUAUUUGGAAACGCUACGAUAGAGUGAUAUAUUCGGAAACGCUAUGAUAGCGUAUGUUUAAUAGCAAAACAUAAUGAAAUGCUAUAUUUAGUUUUUUGAAUCCCCAAACCCUAAACGAGUUUUUAAACCUUAAACUAUAAAUAAGAACCUGAAAACUAUAAUAUAUUCAUACUAUAACUUCAAAUAUUAAACUUAAACUCAAAAUUUAUUCUUUUUUAUUUUAAUAUAUAACUUCCAAACACACAAACAUUAAUUCCUCAAUCAAACUCUAUACCCUAAACCCUAACAUCAAACAUGUAUAAAACCAUACAUUUACUAAAUAUAAACUUCAAAUCUAAAUUUUAAUAAUUUAAUAAAUUUCAAAUCUAAAUCUUAAUCACAAAUGUUUAUAUAGUAAUUCAACCCUUAUACUCUCAAAACUACAAACCCUUAAAUCAUAAACAUAACCC